rnacentral:rRNA from 1 species
UUAUCCGGAAUGAUUGGGCGUAAAGCGUCCGUAGGUAGCAGUGUGUGUCUAUUGUUAAAGAGUUUGGCUUAACCAAAUAAAGGCGGUAGAAACUACACAGCUAGAGUGCGUUCGGGGCAGAGGGAAUUCCUGGUGUAGCGGUGAAAUGCGUAGAGAUCAGGAAGAACACCGGUGGCGAAAGCGCUCUGCUAGGCCGCAACUGACACUGAGGGACGAAAGCUAGGGGAGCGAAUGGGAUUAGAUACCCCAGUAGUCCUAGCCGUAAACGAUGGAUACUAGGCGUUGAGAGUAUCGACCCUCUCAGUGCCGUAGCUAACGCGUUAAGUAUCCCGCCUGGGGAGUACGCACGCAAGUGUGAAACUCAAAGGAAUUGACGGGGGCCCGCACAAGCGGUGGAGUAUGUGGUUUAAUUCGAUGCAACGCGAAGAACCUUACCAGGGCUUGACAUGUCUGGAAUUUUGGGGAAACUCAAGAGUGCCUUCGGGAGCCAGAACACAGGUGGUGCAUGGCUG